CCCGUCAAGACCCAUCAACUUGGAUUUUGUAGUAGUUGCGAAUGAACACAAAUUUGAUCACUUUGGCAAUCUGUACACAUUGCUGUGUAACAAUUUGUAUACUUUGGCACAGUGCUAUCAAAGCUGCAUGCAAGUGUUUUUUGAAAGGAUACAACAUGGGAUGUGAUAUUCAUGUGUGUGUGCCUGCUUUGUCCACAGCCUGUGCUGUAUGAAACACAUUUCUUGCAACUGAAAUGCUAAUGGCAUGGUAAAGUUCAUGUGACAUGACACAAGCUUGAGAUUCAUGAUGUGCAAGUGCCAUGAGGGAAAUGUGAAAAGGACUUUGGAAAGAGAAUUAAAUAAAGCCUGCAUUUGCUGACAAUGAAAGCAAGUGUGGAAGUUCAUGUAAUUGUUACUGCAUCAAUCAAUGUUCAUCUUGGUUACUGCAUGCUUUAUAUUACAGCUCAGAACAUGAAGUGUGUGUAACAGCUCUGCUUUGAUUUUUCCCACAUGGGAUCAGUUGAAACAUUGUGAAAGCACUCUUCAGUUUCCUUAUGUACCCACCAGCUUGGUCCACUCGCGUGUUGGCACACAUGUAAUGUGAUGUGUUUAUGCAAGAUACUUCUGUGCUCAACAACAUGUGUACAUGCUCAAUCG
rnacentral:rRNA from 1 species